AGUUUGGUCUCCUUAGCCAAUUUGUGAAUUAUAUAUGUGUUGUGCUGAAAAUGUGUAGGGAAUUUUAGUAAUCAAAUUAAUUUGGAUUCUGAUUCAUGAAAAUUAGUAAACAAUAACAAUGGGAAUCAACCUCAUUCAUUUGCUAAUUCCAUAUGUUUAGUAAACAACUUAAUGAGAAUGAUUCUUUCCAUACCUAUUCAAU
rnacentral:lncRNA from 1 species